GGGGCCUCCCGGACGGGUCCGCUGAAUGAAGGUGGAAGGGGCGUGGGAAAGCGGUGGAGCCCGCUGCCUUCUGCGUCCUCCCUUUCACUACUGGCUGUUCCCUAAAGUCAAAAAGUCCUAAUGGCUCACUUGAUUUUCUUGACAAAAUGGGACUUGCAUCCUAGGCGGAUGAGAACUAGGCAAGGAGAUGCCAAACUUACUGCUCUUUGACUUCAGAAACAGGGUAUCUCGGGUCCGAGUGAGGGACAGGGCAGAUGGCAUGACCCUGUAUGGUCCUGCAGGCUUUCUUCCAGGUUCGUUUGUCUGGCCCACUCCAUGACAUCUGUGCUGGGGCCACCGCGGCUGACAGCCUCAGGCUCCAUGCUCGGAGCUCAGCGUUCAGUGGAGGAGCAGAUGCUUCACCAGAAAUCAUUGUUACAUCAAUCUGUUGUUGGACAAGUUGCAGUGGCUUUCCUUCUCUCCUCUGUGAGAGGAGGGGUCUUCUCCAUCCCCAAAGAGUCUGAUGCAAAAAGUUUGUCUCCAUCAGGUUACAAGCCCCUACUUGUACUCAGGGGUUAUCACCUCUAGACAUCUCCUUCCAUGCCCAGGCAUUGUCCCUCCGACAGAGAGCAAGAUCUCUUGGCUCUGAAAGAGAAUCUCCGCCUCCUCCUCAGCAUGGAAGUAGCUUCAGAAGUGAUGUGACAACCCUUCCCCCUAAAAGAAUUCAGAGCCAAGCUCCUUGAGGGGAUGUGCUAGGCAGUUAGACAGACAUGAGCAGAGCAAGGACGAUGGACCAACUGGAGGAGAAAUGGAUGGGACCCUGAGAUGUGCUUCUCACCACUCCAACUGCUUUGAAGCUGAAGACACAUUCUAACCUGGCUGGAAGUUGCAGGCGGGACUUGGGAGCUCACCUGGAAAUGUGACCCAUCCUCUACAUCCAGGAGCUGCUAACAACCUUGUUGCUGAAACCAGAGCCUCUAGCCCUUUGCGUAUCGGCAGCCCACAUUAUCUGUAAACUGUCCACUUGGCAUACAUACCCUUUUGGCUACUUCCCCAUGUAGUCUUCAUCCUUCUACCCAAUAUAAGCAGCUGGUUUAUGGUGGGGGCAAAGCAGAUUUUUGUGG